GGAAGGAAGAGAAGUCCACUGAGAGAGCUCAGUGGUGGGGAAGGACAAAGAGGCAAGGACCAGAAGCUAUGAUGCGCACAAUGGGCCGGAUGGAUUAUUUUGCGGUUUGCAGUUGAGCGCGCUUUGUGUCCACCCCAGAGCAGAAGCCUCCUCCAAAAUCAGGAGCAAGACACACAGGGAAUGGCAUUGGCACCAGUGUCCAUCACUUCACCGCAGGUCCCAGGCAGCAUGAAACAAGCCAGAACAACCUCCCUCCCUGCAAAUGGCUCGUAUUGAGAAGAAGAGACAAAUCUUUCAGUAUUUGCAGACAGCAAGAUCAGGGCCCUUUAAAGCUGAUUGUAAAAUUCAUCUGGAAAAGAAAAUGCAUGGAAACCACCAAAGAAUAAAGAAAACAAUAAAUACAGCUCGGUCUCUGGGAUACACACAAUAAAGUCACAGCAACAAAAACAUUACGGAACUGAAGCAAGACUCGAUUCAUCAGUCAGCGAAAGAGAAGUAAGAUUCCCUAGAUUAGGACCAUGUGAAUUUAGCACGUGAUAAGCGGUGUAGUGAAUCAAUGGGAAAAGGAUGUGUUAUUUAAUCUAUGGUGUGGCUUUCCCUAGAAGAUGGCGAUAGACUCUACUUUUUUACCAAAUGCAAAAAUAAAGAGCUGAACAUAAAA